UACGUAGGGUGCAGGCGUUAAUCGGAAUUACUGGGCGUAAAGCGUGCGCAGGCGGUUUCUUAAGUCAGAUGUGAAAGCCCCGGGCUUAACCUGGGAACUGCGCUUGAAACUGGGAGACUUGAGUGUAGCAGAGGGGGGUGGAAUUCCACGUGUAGCAGUGAAAUGCGUAGAUAUGUGGAGGAACACCGAUGGCGAAGGCAACCCCCUGGGUUAACACUGACGCUCAUGCACGAAAGCGUGGGGAGCAAACAGG
rnacentral:rRNA from 1 species